GCCCUCUUGGUGUAAUGGUAGCACACUUGGCGCGUAUUCGAGAGGUCCAGGUUCAAGUCCUGGCAUGGGCA
rnacentral:tRNA from 1 species